UACGUAGGGUGCGAGCGUUAAUCGGAAUUACUGGGCGUAAAGCGUGCGCAGGCGGUUCGUUGUGUCGGCGGUGAAAGCCCCGGGCUUAACCUGGGAAUGGCCGUCGAAACUGGCGAACUGGAGUGUGGCAGAGGGGGGUGGAAUUCCCGGUGUAGCGGUGAAAUGCGUAGAUAUCGGGAGGAACAUCAGUGGCGAAGGCGGCUGCCUGGCCCAAUACUGACACUCAGGUGCGACAGCGUGGGGAGCAAACAGG
rnacentral:rRNA from 1 species